CGUUUUCGUAAUUGUCGUCAGUGGUUCGAGUUGCUCCGUUUCGAUCUCGCGCGAUUCUCUGCCGGAUUGGAUUACCCAGCCAGGCCCAAAAUAAAUUAUACCUACGUGCGAUUUUUGAAGGGACCACAACAUAUUGUGACCGAAUUUUGAAUCUACGUUCUACGAGGACCGCUUGCCAAAAGCAACGUAAUGUCGUCCUACCGCAGUUAUACACCCUGGAAAACGAGCUUGGGAAGUUCCUAUAAGCCUGGCAGCGCAUCGUACGGCACUUCUGGAGACUCCACAUCGCGCUACACAUCACUGGCCACUCCAAGUUCCUACAGACCUUCGUUUUCUGGAGGAACGUACCGCCUUAAAAGGGAUCCACCUCCGCCAGCCACCACAACUACAUCUACCGGCUAUGUAAGUCGCUAUGCAAAGACAGAACCCAAGGAAGCAGCUCCGACUGAGAGGAGCAGUCCCGUGAAGAGGUAUACAGGUACCACUACCAGUGCCCUGGGAAAGUAUGGACGAUCUCGAGACCCCAGUCCGGUGGCCUUAGAGCACACGAACCGCAACAAAUCCCGCGAUCCGAGUCCCGUGAUCGAUAGCACCAGGAGUAAACUGGGAUCCACAUACCGUGGAGGUAACACCACCACCUCCAGUUCAUCCUCCUCGGCCACUAGAAAUGCCUACAACAGUCGCUAUGGGGCGACUUCUCGGAUAUCGGGAAAUGGAAGUGCCCUAUCCUACUUGACCACCAGUGAUUUUCAUGCCAGAACUGCCAGCAGGGCCAAGGCCAGCAGGGAAAGGGAGAAGGAAAAGGAGAAGGAAAAGGAGGAGGAAGAGAAGCCCAGAGAAGUCCCCAAUAACAAGGAUAAGUCUCCAGAGAAAGCGGAAGAGAAACAACCAGCAAACGAUGACGAAGCCAAUGAAUCUUUCAUCACCAUUUCCGUGGUGACCAGAGCCACUUCACCCACUCUGCCGGGCAGCACCACCGUUCAGAGAACCCGUCGCAUUGAUCCAGCCAAAACCAUAGAGAAGACCAUCCAAAGAUCCACAAAAAGACGUGAGACAUCAGACCAGGAGAUUCAAUCAGAUCGAUUGGAUGACUCCACACGAUAUCUUCGCUAUAGCGCAGGCAGCAGCAUUAGCUCGACUUAUAGUCCUCAUAGGGAUAGGAUCAGUAGUCUGCGGUACAGUGCCAGUCCCUUGAACAGUUCAGGAUCUGGAAAGUCCAGUUCAAUGGGUGAGGGAAAACAGAUUCAGCCAAUCCCAGAGGUUGUAUCUCCAGCGAGGACCAAUGGCUCUGUGAGUUCAGCAAAAUCAUCAGAAGCUUUAUCACCGCCAAGAUCAAAUGGAACUGUGAGUUCCGGGAAAUCAAAUGAGGCCCUAUCUCCAGCCAGAAGUAAUGGGUCUGCUAACUCAUCAUCGAAGUCCCCAGAAGCUGUAUCUCCCCCAAGAACAAAUGGAUCCUCCUCGAAGUCCACGAAGUCCAAGCUUUCUCCGCCAAAGGCAAUACGCUUAAACUCCAGGCAAUCUUCAGUGGAAAAUCUGGUCAACAAGCCACCUGCACCACCUAGCAAGGCGGACUCACCCACCAAGACCUGCAGUUCCAGUUCGGGAAGUUCAGCGGUCAAGUGGCCCAACAAGGAUUUCCGCAAGUCCUCUCUAAAUGUGGGUCCUACGGAUAGGCCUCGAAAAUCCCGAACUCCCAGCAGUGGUGGGGAGUCCGAGGAUCUGCCCAAUGGCAGUAGCCUCGAAAGAUCACCAAGUGCGGGAUCGGAGGGAAGUCUAGCCUCUGUUUCCUCGAAGAAAUCCUCCAAACUAAGCAAUGGCAAGGUGCCAGGAAGUCCAAAGCCAAAGAGUCACAAAUCCUGCAGUGAAACCACCACUGGCAACUCAUCGUCGACCACUGCCUCCGCUUCGGACAGCGAGCAGCGGGUCAAGACCGUGAAAAAGCAGGCCAAAAAGAAGACCACCAAAGAGGGCGGGACUGGCAAGGUCGUCGCCGCCGCCCACAAGCCAAAUAGCACCACUGAAUCACCCACCGUCGAGGUUGAAGUGGUGCCAGCGACACAGACAAGACUGAAGAAGCUAUCGGCGGUAUCGAAUUUUUUCGCCAGCCGUCAGCAAGACGCAAAUAACGAGCCGAUAUUCCUCGAAAGCUCCGAGAGCUCGGGCGAACCGGAGGCUCUUUCGCUGCCCGUGAUCUCAGGCAUAUCGGCCAUCUCGAAAAUCUCGAAAAUCUCGGGGAUCAGUCUGGCUACAGAUUUGCGAACGAACGAACCGCGAACGACGCCAUCGAGCGAAGCGAAACCCUCACCCCCAACGAAUUCCCAGAGUUCGAGCACACGGUGUCCACGAGAAAGCUCUACGGGAACGGGAACGGGAACCAGGUUACCCACCAGCACGGUUAGCACCACCCAGGACACGAGUCUCACCACCACCACCGCCAGCUUGACCACCUCCGAGCAGGACGAUCCCAGUUGGUGGCAAGAUACCAGCCUGCAGAUUAACACGGCCUCUGCUUUGGAUCAAAAUAAUCGAGGAGAGAUGCCUCCUUAUAGGUUACGACAUAUUGAUUCUGGGGAGGAGCAGGCCUGGUGGCUGCGUCAGGAUGAAAAUGGCGAUGAUGAUGACACAUUAGCGGAGGAGACCCUUAAUACCCUGGAUGACGAUGCCCAGGAGCCGAGCAAGUCCACCUGGUGGAGUCAGGAGGAGCAGGAGGACUCCAGCAGUCAGGUGAAGCUGAUGCCCAGGAGCAGGAUAACGCCGGAGAAGGAUGCCUGGUGGCUGCAGGAAGAAGAGGAGGCUCCGGCAUCUGCCAGGGAGAAUGGCGAUCUUAACAACAACAAUAGUGAGCCCCAUGUGGAGGUGACCCUAAGAUUACCCUCUAAUGGCAGUCAAAGGAGCUCCAAGGGUAGUGCAUCCAGGAGUGGAGCAAAUUCCAAGAGUGGUGGCUCCAAUCCCUGGUGGCUAUCCGGACCAGCCAGAAAGAUGUUCAAUGUGCAGCGCGUGGAGUCCGGCGAAAGAGCCUGGUGGCAGGAGGAAGCACCCGAGGAGCCACCUCCGCAGGAAAAAGAGAACGAACCACCGCCGGUGAAGCCACCCACUCCUCCACCGCGAAUCAUCAAGCACUGGGAGUCCGGGGAGCGCGCCUGGUGGCUGCAGGAGGAUACGGAGAGCACUCAGCCGCCAGUUCAGCAGCCCAGCAGUGAUGAUGAAGAGCAGCCAGGUGUGGUCUCCAGGGAUGAAGUGGAUCUGCGACUGGCACUACCACCCACCCUGGCAUCCCAGGAGCUGAGCACCUCCUUCAAUUUCAAUGCCUACUCCGAGCGUCCGCCGCCCCUGGGUCAGUGUGCCAGUCCCGUGCGCUGCCCCUCGCCCUAUGACAACAUUCCAAGGUCGCAAGUGCAGGAGCCACCACCCCAACAACAACCCACUCCCACUUUAAACAUCCUACAGCCACGAUUCUCACCGCAAACUCGGCGGGCCGGCGAAAAGCUCUUCAUCUCGCGGCAUCAGAACAUCGACGAGUUACUGGGAGGGGCUUGUCGUCCCCUCAGCCCGCUCUUCUACGGGAACUCCAAUCCCGCCGAGGCUGAAUUGACCCCCUUGGCCAGCAAGAACAUGUUCCUGCUCGAGGAGGUGACCCCCGACCAGGUGCGGAUCCACGACAGCACCGCCCAACUGCCGGUCAUCCAACGAAUGCAACGCGAUGUCGAGUGGUUGGAGAAUGGUAGCAGCUUUUACGAGCCACCCAAACAACAACAGCAUCAACAGCAACAACGCAGGAUCGAUGAUGCAGCCAUCCAGGUGUACAAGGAUGGCGACUACGGAGCCUACCUGGAUCUGGAGUCAUCGCUGGCCGAGCAGAGCGAGGAAAUCGAGGGACUCAACGUCAGCCGCAAGAACUCCCUGGUGGUGCGAACGCAGUUAAAUGUGCGCGUGCACGCAAUUAUUGAGAAACUGCUGUCCGCGGAGGGCAGUGACCUGCGGCGGGCCCUCUUCUCGCUGAAGCAGGUGUUCCAGGAGGAUAAGGAUCUGGUGCACGCCUUCGUGGCCCUCGGCGGGCUCAAUUGCCUGGUGCGCGUGGGCAAUUGUGCGGAUCAAAACUAUCAGAAUUACAUUCUGCGGGCCCUCGGUCAGGUCAUGCUCUAUGUGGACGGAAUGAAUGGCGUGAUGAAGCAUGAGCCGACGAUGCAGUGGCUCUACUCGCUGAUUGCCUCCAAUUACCGAUCCGUGGUGAAGACCGCCCUCAAGCUGUUGCUGGUCUUCGUGGAGUACGCCGAGUCCAACUGCUAUGUGCUGGUCAGUGCGAUUCACGCGGUGGACGCUUCCCAGGGCACUCUGCCCUGGUCGAAUAUAAUGAGACUGCUUAAGGACUAUGAUAAUGCCGAUGCCGAGCUGGUCAUCUAUGCCACUUCACUGAUCAAUAAAACCCUGGCGGGCCUCAACGAUCAGGACAGUUUCUACGAUGAGAGCGAUCUUCUAGAGCAGCAGGGCAUGGAGACUGUUAUCCAGCGAUAUAUGUCCAAGCCGGGCACCGAUUUGGAUCUGCUCGAUCAGCUGCAGCUCUACGAGGCUGUGCUAAAGUUUGAGGAUGGUGAGUCGGAUGGUCAGCGCUUACCGCAGAACUCAAUGCGCAAGACGCAGCGCUAUCGCCCGGGGACUAACACCACCGAAAGACGCAAAUCGCGUCGCCACAGCACGGAUAAUAGCCCAGCCCCCCUCACAAAGGUCCUGCCCACCACUGUCCUCCGGAUGACCCCCACCCAAGCCACCGUGGAUGAGGACAGUUCGGGAUCCACUAACUCUACGGAAUUCAGCGGUGGACUGUUCAAUGAAAAGAAACCUCGCGAUGGUGCAGGCGUGACCCCGGGACUUCGUAGAAGAAGAGAGCGGGCGGAGCGGCACAAGAGCUUCCUGAAGGAACAACAGGAGGCGGCGGCCAAUGGGAUCUUUGCCGCCUUGGAGCAGCGGGAAGGACUGGGGCAAAUUGUAACCGCCAUACCCGCCACCAUCCAAGUUGGCGACAGUCCGCCCGAGUCGCUGCAACACGAGUUGCCGCCGUGCAACAACAUCAGCGGCAUCAGCAAUCUUAGCAACCUUAGCAACAUUAGCAACAACAAUGUGAGCAACCUGAGCUGCAAUGACACGCCGAACAACAGCCUUCUGCUGAUGAGUCCUAGCAAACAAUUGCUCACCGGCAGCCACAGCAUCUCCAUCAUAAACAACAGCUUCGAUAAGGCGAGCAACAAUAACCAGAGCGAGUUCCUAACGAAGAAGAACCUAUUUCGGGAACGCAAUUCAACUGUGAUCAAUGGUAUUAUGAAGAAUAUCCAGCAAACCGAUAGUGCCUAUAAGAAGUACGAGAAUGAGGCGAAUCGGCUGAACAACUACUACAGCCAGUCGCCAAAGCAUCAGAUCCAUCAGAACCAUCAGAUCAAUCAGAUCCAUCAGCCCAUUCAGCCCACGCCGGAGGUGCUUUUGAGUCCCAAGAAAACGCUGAAUGCCUCUGGGUUUGACUUUACGCCCGCUCCCCUGAGUUCCACCCCGGUUAAAUGUGAUGUCCAGCCGGAGGCGGAGCCACUGCGUCCGGUUGGGAAACCGGAGACAGCCCCACCACCGCCUCCUCCACCGCCACCGCCGCCACCACCGCCCCCAGGGUGGUGGCACGCCCCCAUCUACAACAGCCCGCCAGCUGCAGCUCCUCCAGCUCGAACCCUAACCAGUACUAACCCAGAGCUGCUGCCGCAUCCUGUGGAUCCUUCAGAUAUGGACAGCGAGGACAAGCAGCUGCUGCUGCAGCUGAAGCGGGACCACACCGUCAAGGAUCUCACCCAGAAGCUGAGCAACCUGCCCAUGAGUCCCACCCAGGAUCCCGGGAAUCGAGCUCUCGUCGGCGACAUGUCCGGCCUCAUCUCGAAGGCCAAAGAGGGUCUGGCCAAGAGCAAGAGCAAGGGAGAGAUAUCCAGAUCUUCUAGUGUGGAUCAGGAGCUGAAGAAGUCUGAGCCCAAGAAGUCGGAGAACGAACUUCACUGGGAGGAGCUGGUGAGGAAUAUGACCAGGCCGCUGAAUCUCUGCGAUUUGGACUUUACGGAUCUGAGGGAUGAUGACGAGAAAGAUGUGUUGGCACCGCGAAGUCUGGGUGCUGGAAUACCCCCUCCUCCACCGCCCCUGGGAGGGGCCAUUGCCCCACCGCCCAUGAUGCCCCCCAGCUUGGCACCUCCGCCCAUGUAUGGAUAUGGUGGCAGUCUUACCAACAGUGUUAACUCGCUGAAUGGAUCCAUAAAUGGCGAGCUGGUCAAUGGGAAUAACACCAUUAAAAAGAACAAGAAGACGGUCAAGCUCUUCUGGAAGGAAGUGCGCGAGGACAUGAUACCGCAGGUGGUGGGCAAAACCAUUUGGGACGAGUUGCCCGAUGCCAAUGUCGACACCCAGAAGCUCGAACAUCUCUUUGAGUCCCGGGCCAAAGACUUGAUGACCAAGAAACAACAAGAGCUGAACAAGAGCAAAGAGAUCAUCGUGCUCGACCACAAGCGCUCCAAUGCCAUCAACAUUGCGAUCACCAAGCUGCCUCCUCCGAGGGCCAUCAAGACGGCCAUCCUCAAGAUGGACGCCACUGUGGUCACGCGGGAGGGCAUUGACAAGCUGCUGAAUAUGCUGCCCACCGACGAGGAGAGGGGAAAGAUCCAGGAGGCCCAGCUGUCCAAUCCGGAGUUGCCCCUGGGCAGUGCCGAGCAGUUCCUGCUGACCCUGGCCUCCAUUUCGGAGCUGGAGGCGCGCCUGAAACUCUGGGCCUUCCGUCUGGACUUUGACAACAGCGAGAAAGAGAUUGCGGAACCCCUGAUGGACCUCAAGCAAGGCAUUGAGAUCCUGCGUCAGAACCGCACCUUCCGCAGCAUCCUCUCCACGCUGCUGUCCGUGGGCAUCUUCCUGAAUGGAGCUCCCGUCAAGGGAUUCCAGAUCGAGUAUCUGGCCAAGGUGCCGGAGGUCAAGGACACGGUGCACAAGCACUCGCUGCUGCACCACCUCUGCCACAUGGUCAUGGAGUCGAGCAGCGAUACGAGUGAUCUCUACUCCGAGAUUGGACCCAUUACCCGAGCCUCCAAGGCGGAUUUCACGGACUUGGCCCACAAUCUCAAUCAGCUGGAGGCGGAGUGUAAGGCCUGUUGGGAUCGUCUGAAACUGAUUGCCAAACACGAUUGCCCACAGCCGUUGAAACAAAAACUGGUGGAUUUCCUGGCCGAUUGUGCGGAACGCAUCAUUAUCCUGCAGAUCGUCCAUCGGCGGGUGAUGAACCGCUACCGGAAGUUCCUUCUGUGGCUCGGCAUGCCGCAGCACAGUGUGGCGGAGUCGAGGCCCAAUGAGUUCAGCAGGACCCUCUCCGAAUUCGCCCUGGAGUACCGCACCACCCGGGAACGGGUGCUCCAGCAGCUGGAGAAGAAGGCCAACCACCGCGAGCGGAAUAAGACGCGCGGCAAGCUGAUCAUCGACAUGGCCAAGUUCAAGACCAAAGAUGACGUGGCCGAUGAUGAGCUGAAAAAACUGCUGGACACAUCCAGUGCCGACCAGGCCGAUGGCACUCUCACCUGGCGAAGAAGACGGGCGGAGCAGCUCCGUUCGCCGAUUGCCCGCCAGAGUGAGGAGCAGUUCACCGACGGGGAUGAUGAGAUCUUGGAAUCCCUGGUUAAAACCGCCACCAAGGCCCCCGGAACAAGGACAACGCCCAGGGAACGGAAGCGGACGCGACAUGCGGAUCGCAAAUCAUUGAAGCGCAGCCGCACGCGCGAAGGAUUCACAGUUGAAAGAGCACCAUCGCCGUAGAAACCGUUACUGUUAACCGAAUCCGUAACCGCUACCAAAAGAACAGCCAACUGUUUUUUAGGUUUUACCUUUUUUGUACGUCGCACGCUGAAAAACGGUCUGACCGAGGAGGAGAAACAGCAUGUGGCUGCCUUAAUACAAACCUAUUAGGAUUAGCAGAUUACUAUCGUAGAUACCCGCAUCACAUCCGAGAUACUCCCAUCCCCAGUGACGUCACAAGUCGGGCACUACGCGCACAGACUGAAAUUGGCGAUCUCAGGCGAGCAAGCGAACCCAGAAAACCCCCUUUAUAACGACAACGUGCGCAUCAUCAGUACUUGUUUUUUCUAAUUUUUUUUGCCACGGCAGCAAUGAGUACCAACUGCAACUGCAACGAAAAUGUCCUUAAACAAAAGCGUUUUUCAUCGUGUUUUUCUGUUAUUUAAUUUUUUGUUUUUGCUUCAGCUAAGUAUUAUUAAUUAAACGUAAUUCAAUAAACCUGUAUUAGUAGUUGGAAACGAUUUUAAGAAAUUUCGAUGUCCCUAGCCACGUCAUUAAAAUUUGUACCAAAAUACGACACGAAUUGUGCUUUCUAAAUUAAACUAAAUCUUAAAGUUAUGUCUAA